UGGGGCACUGUCUGUAUGGGGCACAUAUUCUCAGUUAAUCACAAAGGAGGGUGAAGAAUCUGGAGCAGGGUGGCGCUGUAUCUAAGGAGCACAGGCAGCAGUUAGACAGAGGGGACAGGGAAGGCUCUCGAGAAGCAGGGCACAGUCUUAAUGGGAUCAUAGGAUGGUAGUUAGGGAGGUGUCGGGGGAAUGUUCUGGAGAAGUAAAGCGCUGCCUGUGUGGGGCACGGCGUGGCUAUUAGCCAGAGAAUGUGAUGGGGGAAGGUUCCUGAGGAGCAGGGUGCUGUCUGUAUAGGGGAACAGACUGGCAGUUAGAGAGGUGGCGGGGAAGGUUUCCAAGGAGCAGGGUGCUGUCUGUAUGGGGACACAGACUGGCAGUUAGAGAGGUGGCGGGGAAGGUUCCUGAGGAGCAGGGUGCUGUCUGUAUAGGGGCAAAGACUGGCAGUUAGAGAGGUGGCAGGGAAGGUUUCCGAGGAGCAGGGUGCUGUCUCUAUGGGGGCACAGACUGGCAGUUAGAGAGGUGGCGGGGAAGGUUCCUGAGGAGCAGGGUGCUGUCUGUAUGGGGACACAGACUGGCAGUUAGAGAGGUGGCGGGGAAGGUUUCCGAGGAGCAGGGUGCUGUCUCUAUGGGGGCACAGACUGGCAGUUAGAGAGGUGGCAGGGAAAGUUUCCGAGGAGCAGGGUGCUGUCUGUAUUGGGGCACAGGCUGGCGGUCAGUCAGGGAGGUGAGAGGGAAGAUUCUGGAGGAGCAGGGCACUAUUUGUAGAGGGCAUAGGCUGGCAAUCAGUCAGGGAGAUACGAGGAAGCUUCU